rnacentral:rRNA from 1 species
CCUACGGGGGGCAGCAGUGGGGAAUAUUGGACAAUGGGGGGAACCCUGAUCCAGCCAUGCCGCGUGUGUGAAGAAGGCCCUCGGGUUGUAAAGCACUUUCAGUGAGGAAGAACGCCUGGUGGUUAAUACCCAUCAGGAAAGACAUCACUCACAGAAGAAGCACCGGCUAACUCCGUGCCAGCAGCCGCGGUAAUACGGAGGGUGCGAGCGUUAAUCGGAAUUACUGGGCGUAAAGCGCGCGUAGGUGGCUUGAUAAGCCGGUUGUGAAAGCCCCGGGCUCAACCUGGGAACGGCAUCCGGAACUGUGAAGCUAGAGGGCAGGAGAGGGAGGUAGAAUUCCCGGUGUAGCGGUGAAAUGCGUAGAGAUCGGGAGGAAUACCAGUGGCGAAGGCGGCCUUCUGGACUGACACUGACACUGAGGUGCGAAGGCGUGGGUAGCAAACAGGAUUAGAUACCCCUGUAGUC